rnacentral:tRNA from 1 species
GGGGGUGUAGCUCAAGUGGUAGAGCACAUGCUUAGCAUGCAAGAGGUCCUGGGUUCAAUCCCCAGUACCUCCU